UCCAGGUCUUGUUCGAAAUGGUUCCUUGGA
rnacentral:piRNA from 1 species